rnacentral:lncRNA from 1 species
CCCAAAACAAGUUGUACCAGAGAGAUUGAGGGAGAGCCAGAGGAUACCACCUAUGAGCAUCACAGUGCUAGACUUGGAAAAUAGGUGCAGAUUGUCAUCAGGCUUCUACAAAACACAAUUCCUGGGAGAGGACAAUGAUUUGCUUAAGUUCCUGUUAUCUUUUCUAGGCCUAGUGUAAUGUACAUUGACAUUCGGAGUUCCGGUGGCGAAACUUCUUGAGGACUCUAGAAUACAAGGAUGGUCCAAGUUUCCCUGUGUCUUUGCAAGAUCUGACUGCAUCAGGCUUCAUAAAAAAGUGUUGGUUCACAGUGUAUUUGUCUUUCUCAGGGAAUUUGUGAAGACAUCUGGGCUCAAAAGGCAAGGUUAUUGUAUCUUUAAAGGGAGACCUUGUUGGUUAUCACAGAGAACUAAGGUUUGUGUAAAUUUCCAUCAGUAGACUUUUCCAUCAUCAAACGCCAGUUCAAGCCCAGAAGGCUGGUGGAAGUCAAAUUCUUGCCUCUCUGUCCUCCUGAUGGAAAUGCCAGUUUUGAAGGGUCCUCCCUAUAGGUCAGAUCACCUGUUUCAGGUCUCCAGGGUCCCCUCAGUGACAAAACUGCUGGAUAAUUGAGAAAAGAGCAUCUCCCAGGUAGAACCAGGUGUCUCUAGAUCUUACCUAGAGAAAGAGAAAACAGGGGUUAUGAGUAGAGAAGAGAAACAGUAUACUCUCUUCCCAGGGGCCACGACAAGCAACAAACCCGAGGCGAAAACAAGACGUCUCCAAAAUCUACUAAGUGGGCGCGCAUCUGAUCCCUAUGUCCACUCGCAGAUUUCCCAAUGACCCAAUGAAUUUGGAAAGACGCAGGAUUUCCCAGAGCCCCGUCAAAGCUGAAACUUCUCGCUCCAUUCAGAAUGCGCAGGGACACUGGUCUGGACGAAUUCUGCUUUUCUUUCUCUCAGUGCGUGCAUGUGGGCACGUGUGGACCUAGCACAGUGACAGUCGCGCCAACUUCUGCUUUCCUGUCGCCUGUGCACAAUUCCUGGAGCCUUGAAGGACUCCCCGGGCGCGGGGGUGAGCUCAGGGCCGCGCCCUGGGGAACGGAUAGUUCCUUCAGUCUGCAAAAGGACAGGAUCCAGCGGCGCUGAGGGUCCGGGGAGCGAGCGCGCGAAGCCCACCGCUCGCAGGCGGGGGCUUCCCUGCGCUGGGUCCCCGCGCCGGCCUCCAGCCGUCCAGGGGCGGGACCCCGCGCCGCCCCGAGCCACCUCCCAUUGGCCGGCGCGCACGCCCGUCCGCGAGCGCGGCUUCGAAAGUUUCAUUGAAGGUGGAGAAGUGAGCGCCCGCCCGGAGCCGGGGCUGCGCCGCCAGGGCGAGGCUGCACUGCGCGGGGCGGGGGCGCGCUGGCCGCCGGGCGGCGUUCGUUUUUCAUUUUAUUCCUUUAAGUCGAGGCCGAGGAGGAGCGAGUGGAGGCUGCCCCUUCGCGCGCCCCGCUGCCGACCCGUCAGGGAGCCCCGAGCAGUCGGGAAUGGUUACGCGAGUCCGGCCGCCAGCGCGCCGCUGUCUCCGGCCCGAAGCCCGGGGGCGCAGAGGCUGAACCGAAGACCGCGGAGGGAGCCACCGCGGGGCCGCUCGGGGCCAGGGCCGCUCCGAGAGCUCAGGCCGAACGAGGGCCGCGCCGUCACCUCUAUUCUGAGAAGACUCCACGGAGAAGGCUCCCCGCUGCCCGUGAGCGACAUCCCGGGAGUCGCCAAAAGGACAGCACGCCCUCCUCUCCCCUUUUCUCGCCGCGCCGCCUCGCGGGACCCUCUCGAAGUGCCUGGUCCCCGGCUCCAGCCUCUGGCAUCCGCUGCAGAAACCUCCGGCACCGGAUCGGGGAGUCCACACUGGAUGGGCCGGGCGUGA